rnacentral:pre_miRNA from 1 species
UCCCCACUUAUGUGUGUAGGAUCCUAAAGGAUUACCAUUAAAUUUGAUACGGAUUUUUAAAAAAGUUAUCACAUAGGUGUAGGACUUGACUUUUUUAGAGAUCCGUAUCAAAUUUAAUGGUGAUCCUUUAGGGUCCUACACAGAUAGAUGGGAG